AUACGUAGGGGGCGAGCGUUGUCCGGAAUGAUUGGGCGUAAAGGGCGCGUAGGCGGCGCGGGAAGUCUGGAGUGAAAGUCCUGCUUUCAAGGUGGGAAUUGCUUUGGAUACUGCCGCGCUUGAGUGCAGGAGAGGUUAUCGGAAUUCCCGGUGUAGCGGUGAAAUGCGUAGAGAUCGGGAGGAACACCAGUGGCGAAGGCGGGUAACUGGACUGCAACUGACGCUGAGGCGCGAAAGUGUGGGGAGCAAACAGGAUUAGAUACCCUGGUAGUCCACACUGUAAACGAUGAAUGCUAGGUGUAAGAGGUAUCGACCCCUUUUGUGCCGGAGUCAACACAAUAAGCAUUCCGCCUGGGGAGUACGGCCGCAAGGUUGAAACUCAAAGGAAUUGGCGGGG
rnacentral:rRNA from 1 species